rnacentral:rRNA from 1 species
CAAUAGCGUAUAUUAAAGUUGUUGCAGUUAAAAAGUUCGUAGUUGGAUUUCUGGUUGAAGCGACCGGUCGGGCGUUGAUUCGUCUGCACUGGAGUCGGUUUUGGCCAUCCUCUAGGAAAGUGCGUCUGGUAUUAAGUUAUCGGGCGUAUGAUCCUGGUCUUUUACUGUGAAAAAAUUAGAGUGUUUAAAGCAGGCCUUCGCCUUGAAUACAUUAGCAUGGAAUAAUAAGAUAGGAUCUUCGUCUAUUUUGUUGGUUGCGGACAAAGAUAAUGAUUAAUAGGGAUAGUUGGGGGUGUCUGUAUUGUGUUGUCAGAGGUGAAAUUCUUAGAUUUACACAAGACAAACUACUGCGAAAGCAUUCACCAAGGAUGUUUUCAUUA